rnacentral:rRNA from 1 species
UGGACCUCAGAUCAGGCAAGAUCACCCGCUGAAUUUAAGCAUAUCACUAAGCGGAGGAU